GUGGGGAAUCUUCCGCAAUGGACGAAAGUCUGACGGAGCAACGCCGCGUGAGUGAAGAAGGCCUUCGGGUCGUAAAGCUCUGUCAUCAGGGACGAACGGCCGGUGGAGUGGAAAGCCACCGGAUUGACGGUACCUGAGAAGGAAGCCACGGCUAACUACGUGCCAGCAGCCGCGGUAAUACGUAGGUGGCAAGCGUUGUCCGGAAUUAUUGGGCGUAAAGCGCGCGCAGGUGGGAUCUUAAGUCCAUUUUGAAAGUUCGGAGCUCAACUCCGUGAUGGGAUGGAAACUGGGAUUCUUGAGUACCGGAGAGGAAAGCGGAAUUCCCCGUGUAGCGGUGAAAUGCGUAGAUAUGGGGAGGAACACCAGUGGCGAAGGCGGCUUUCUGGACGGUGUCUGACACUGAGGCGCGAAAGCUAGGGGAGCGAACGGGAUUAGAUACCCCGGUAGUCC
rnacentral:rRNA from 1 species